AUGAACGCUGGCGGCGUGCCUAAUACCUGCAAGUCGCGCGAACAGACGAGGAGCUUGCUCCUCUGACGUUAGCGGCGGACGGGUGAGUAACCCGUGGAUAACCUACCUAUAAGACUGGGAUAACUUCGGGAAACCGGAGCUAAUACCGGAUAAUAUAUUGAACCGCAUGGUUCAAUAGUGAAAGACGGUUUUGCUGUCACUUAUAGAUGGAUCCGCGCCGCAUUAGCUAGUUGGUAAGGUAACGGCUUACCAAGGCAACGAUGCGUAGCCGACCUGAGAGGGUGAUCGGCCACACUGGAACUGAGACACGGUCCAGACUCCUACGGGAGGCAGCAGUAGGGAAUCUUCCGCAAUGGGCGAAAGCCUGACGGAGCAACGCCGCGUGAGUGAUGAAGGUCUUCGGAUCGUAAAACUCUGUUAUUAGGGAAGAACAAAUGUGUAAGUAACUAUGCACGUCUUGACGGUACCUAAUCAGAAAGCCACGGCUAACUACGUG
rnacentral:rRNA from 1 species